GACGAUCGCUAGCGGCGUGCUUAACACAUGCAAGUCGAACGGAGUGGCGAACGGGUGAGUAACAAGUGGGUGAUCUGCCUUGCACUUCGGGAUAAGCUUGGGAAACUGGGUCUAAUACCGGAUAGUGCAAGAUGAGCUCGCGGCCUAUCAGCUUGUUGGUGGGGUAAUGGCCUACCAAGGCGUCGAAGGGUAGUCGGUCUGAGAGGGUGUACGGCAACAUUGGGACAGAGAGACGGCCCAGACUCAGACGGGAGGCAGCAGGUGGGAAUAUUGCACAAUGGGCGGAAGCCUGAUGCAGCGACGCCGCGUGGGGGAUGAAGGCCUUCGGGUUGUAAACUCCUUUCGACAGGGACGCGGUACCUGUAUAAGAAGCACCGGCUAACUACGUGCCAGCAGCCGCGGUAAUAC
rnacentral:rRNA from 1 species